rnacentral:tRNA from 1 species
GCGGUAGUGGUGGAAUUGGUAGACACGCUAUCUUGAGGUGGUAGUGGCGAGAGCCUUGGGGGUUCGAGUCCCCCCUUCCGCA